ACGCUAGCUACAGGCUUAACACAUGCAAGUCGAGGGGAAACGGCAUUGAGUGCUUGCACUCUUUGGACGUCGACCGGCGCACGGGUGAGUAACGCGUAUCCAACCUUCCCAUUACUGUGGGAUAACCUGCCGAAAGGCAGACUAAUACCGCAUGGUCUUCGAUGACGGCAUCAGAUUUGAAGUAAAGAUUUAUCGGUAAUGGAUGGGGAUGCGUCUGAUUAGCUUGUUGGCGGGGUAACGGCCCACCAAGGCGACGAUCAGUAGGGGUUCUGAGAGGAAGGUCCCCCACAUUGGAACUGAGACACGGUCCAAACUCCUACGGGAGGCAGCAGUGAGGAAUAUUGGUCAAUGGACGGAAGUCUGAACCAGCCAAGUAGCGUGCAGGAUGACGGCCCUAUGGGUUGUAAACUGCUUUUGUAUGGGGAUAAAGUUAGGGACGUGUCCCUAUUUGCAGGUACCAUACGAAUAAGGACCGGCUAAUUCCGUGCCAGCAGCCGCGGUAAUACGGAAGGUCCAGGCGUUAUCCGGAUUUAUUGGGUUUAAAGGGAGCGUAGGCUGGAGAUUAAGUGUGUUGUGAAAUGUAGACGCUCAACGUCUGAAUUGCAGCGCAUACUGGUUUCCUUGAGUACGCACAACGUUGGCGGAAUUCGUCGUGUAGCGGUGAAAUGCUUAGAUAUGACGAAGAACUCCGAUUGCGAAGGCAGCUGACGGGAGCGCAACUGACGCUUAAGCUCGAAGGUGCGGGUAUCAAACAGGAUUAGAUACCCUGGUAGUCCGCACAGUAAACGAUGGAUGCCCGCUGUUGGUACCUGGUAUCAGCGGCUAAGCGAAAGCAUUAAGCAUCCCACCUGGGGAGUACGCCGGCAACGGUGAAACUCAAAGGAAUUGACGGGGGCCCGCACAAGCGGAGGAACAUGUG
rnacentral:rRNA from 1 species